rnacentral:rRNA from 1 species
AACGAACGCUGGCGGCAUGCCUAACACAUGCAAGUCGAACGAGACCUUCGGGUCUAGUGGCGCACGGGUGCGUAACGCGUGGGAAUCUGCCCUUGGGUGCGGAAUAACAGUUAGAAAUAACUGCUAAUACCGCAUAAUGACUCCGGUCCAAAGAUUUAUCGCCCAAGGAUGAGCCCGCGUCGGAUUAGCUAGUUGGUGAGGUAAGAGCUCACCAAGGCGACGAUCCGUAGCUGGUCUGAGAGGAUGAUCAGCCACACUGGGACUGAGACACGGUCCAGACUCCUACGGGAGGCAGCAGUGAGGAAUAUUGGACAAUGGGCGAAAGCCUGAUCCAGCAAUGCCGCGUGAGUGAUGAAGGCCUUAGGGUUGUAAAGCUCUUUUACCCGGGAUGAUAAUGACAGUACCGGGAGAAUAAGCCCCGGCUAACUCCGUGCCAGCCGCCGCGGUAA